GCGGGCGUGGUGGAACGGUAGACACGCCGGCCUUAGGAGCCGGUGCUCGCAAGAGCGUGGGGGUUCGAAUCCCUCCGCCCGCA
rnacentral:tRNA from 1 species